CCUACGGGAGGCUGCAGUGGGGAAUAUUGGACAAUGGGGGCAACCCUGAUCCAGCCAUGCCGCGUGUGUGAAGAAGGCCCUCGGGUUGUAAAGCACUUUCAGUGAGGAAGAACGCCUGGCGGUUAAUACCCAGCAGGAAAGACAUCACUCACAGAAGAAGCACCGGCUAACUCCGUGCCAGCAGCCGCGGUAAUACGGAGGGUGCGAGCGUUAAUCGGAAUUACUGGGCGUAAAGCGCGCGUAGGUGGCUUGAUAAGCCGGUUGUGAAAGCCCCGGGCUCAACCUGGGAACGGCAUCCGGAACUGUCAAGCUAGGGUGCAGGAGAGGAAGGUAGAAUUCCCGGUGUAGCGGUGAAAUGCGUAGAGAUCGGGAGGAAUACCAGUGGCGAAGGCGGCCUUCUGGACUGACACUGACACUGAGGUGCGAAAGCGUGGGUAGCAAACAGGAUUAGAUACCCCGGUAGUC
rnacentral:rRNA from 1 species